rnacentral:rRNA from 1 species
AUUGAACGCUGGCGGCAUGCCUUACACAUGCAAGUCGAACGGCAGCACGGGUGCUUGCACCUGGUGGCGAGUGGCGAACGGGUGAGUAAUACAUCGGAACAUGUCCUGUAGUGGGGGAUAGCCCGGCGAAAGCCGGAUUAAUACCGCAUACGAACUACGGAUGAAAGCGGGGGCCCUUCGGGCCUCGCGCUAUAGGGUUGGCCGAUGGCUGAUUAGCUAGUUGGUGGGGUAAAGGCCUACCAAGGCGACGAUCAGUAGCUGGUCUGAGAGGACGACCGGCCACACUGGGACUGAGACACGGCCCAGACUCCUACGGGAGGCAGCAGUGGGGAAUUUUGCGCAAUGGGCGAAAGCCUGACCGAGCAAUGCCGCGUGUGUGAAGAAGGCCUUCGGGUUGUAAAGCACUUUUGUCCGGAAAGAAAUACUUGGCCCUAAUACGGUCGGGGGAUGACGGUACCGGAAGAAUAAGCACCGGCUAACUACGUG